ensembl:misc_RNA Metazoa_SRP Metazoan signal recognition particle RNA
GCCAGGUGUGGUGAUGUGCACUUGUAGUCCCAGCUACUCAGGAGGCUGAGGCAGGAGGAUCUCUUGAGUUCAAGAAGUCAAGGCUGCAGUGAGCUGUGAUUGUGCCACUGCACUCCAGCCUGGACAACAAAGUGAGACCCUGUCUCUA